GAUGAACGCUAGCGGCAGGCUUAAUACAUGCAAGUUGAGGGGCAGCAUGAUAUACGCGAGUUAUAUUGAUGGCGACCGGCGGACGGGUGAGUAAUAGGUAGGAGACCUACCUCAUACAGGGGGAUAGCAUAGAGAAAUCUGUGGUAAUACCCCAUGAGGUUAUAUGAAUAGAGGCAUAUAAUCAAAGCAUAAGCGAUUAUGCGGUAUGAGGAGGGGCCUACUGACCAUUAGCUAGUUGGUGAGGUAAGGGCUCACCAAGGCGAAGAUGGUUAGGGGUUUUGAGAGAGACGACCCCCCACAUUGGAACUGAGAGACGGUCCAGACUCCUACGGGAGGCAGCAGUAGGGAAUAUUGGGCAAUGGGCGAAAGCCUGACCCAGCCAUGCCGCGUGAAGGAAGACGGCCUUAUGGGUUGUAAACUUCUUUACUACGCGAAUAGAGGUUAGUACGAGAUACUAAUAGGAAGGUAGUGUAGUAAAAAAGCACCGGCUAACUCCGUG
rnacentral:rRNA from 1 species